rnacentral:lncRNA from 1 species
CACUUCUUCAGUUCUGAGUGACCAGGGACUGGACAUGAAGCAGUCAAGAAACUAAAUGAAAUCCUGAAUAUUCAAAACGCUUCACAUGUUUUAGCGCGUGGUAACCAGUUAUAGACCUGGCUGUAUUGCGAUAAUCCUCCUGUAUGCCUUGAAGCAGGUCCAACACAAUCAUAACUUCACGUGUGCCGUACUGGCAUGUGGAAAAGAGUAGGCCUACUAUGUGCAGCAAAGCAGCUAGUGGUGACCUGACAUUUAGUUAUAGAUAAAUAAUUAGAAUAUUCCAAAUGAAGUGAUGAGUAAAUCCAGACUUCGGUUACCAUUUGAAAUCAUUUUAUCGAGAAGCUAAUCUGGAUCUGAAUAUAUAUGAGUGCACCAGUAUUGCCCAGCACAUAAUGCCCAGCACAGGAUGGAAAUUAAACUUCUACCAGGUUUUGGAACAUUGUGUAUGUAUUUCAUUUUUUCAACAGAAUUGUUGUCUGAUGACGAAAAAUUGAUAAAGACUGAGAAGCAUUGUUUGGUUACAAAAAGGAUUCCUGUUUAGAAUCAUCAUGAUCGGAUUAUUCUUAUCAAAGUAGCUUUUUUAGCAUGUAUGUUUUUGUUUUAAAUUUGCUAAGUAACUCUGUGUUUAUAAGGUAGAAAGGCAGGUUCUUUUCGAAUAUCAGCAUGAUCAGAUUUUUUUGAUAAAUAUUGUAGCAUUUUUUGUUUAUUUGCCAGUUAAGCUGAAGUAGAAUGUUUAAUACUUGAAUAUAACUUACAUUUGUAACAUUAUUUUGUUGAACGAAUCUUGGUUUUGUGUAAAGAAGAAGAGGCAUUUUAUGUUAUUGAAAGUUGUCUUAUUUUCUAAAUGUUAUUGUUCUCUUACCAGCAUAUUUUAUAUUAUCAACCAGAUGAUGCAGACUAUCAUUAACACGUUUAUUUUCUUGCAUUUAGAUCGAUAAGUAUUACAAAAGUUUCACAUCAUUUGUUAUAGACGAUUUUUCUUUAUGGAAAAUGGAUGUAGGGAACUUGAGGAUAUGUCCCUUGGAUUUUAAGUCACAUUUGAUAACUGUACAUGUUGCAUGUUUUUUAAAUUAUAUAUACGUAUAUAGAGAGAUAUUGUUAAGGAAAUUUUGAAAUCCUUUAUUUUCCAUUCUAAUUUGACGCUUAUAAAAUUCAUUUGAUGACGUCACUUGCUGGCGACUUUGAUAAUUUUGGCAAAACAUAGCGAACUGCAUGUUUCUUCUCAACGACACGUACCACACUUAAAACGCUCGCUAAUUUAAAAAAGACAGUGGACUUUUCAUCUUUCCUUAUGGUUAUAAAAAGACAAAAACACUGGCAGAUUUAGGAUUUUUAAGGAGGUCAAAUGUUGACAUUUUGAGCAAUUUGACUAUGCGAGCCGAGAAUGGGUUUCUCUUCCUCCGGGGAGAGGAGCACUAGAUCCGCCACUGUUUUUUUUUUUAAUUGAAGAAAUUGAAAUACUUCGUUUAGUAUCAAUAAGAUAAACAUAAGGCAAGUAGUUGUUAAUAGUUUAUUAGUCAAAUAAAAAAGUAGCAUUUUGUAUCUUUUACACGUUCGAAUAAUGCAGAUAUAAAUAAUUUCGCUCUACGUAGUUGAUCCUUGUGAUGACGAAAAUAAUAUUAAAAGACAAUGUAGUUCAAAGGGAGAUACUUUGGAAAUACAUGAAUACAUUAUGUGAAUUUGUUUUGCUCUCAAUAAAAAAAAACUUCUCAAAUA